CCAACUCCAACAUGGAGGUGGCAUAGCCCUCUUAGUUAAGACACCCAUCCAAUUUUCAGUUAAACCCCCCAUCAACGCCACAGAAGCCAUCGGCGCCACCAUUUUCACCAACUCAGGAGAAGUCAACUGUUUUUUUCUGUUUACUCCCCCAAAGGGGAAUGCUCCCCAGAAGACAUCCACUUUUUUUAUGGCGAUCUCAACGCACACCACCACCUGGGAGUCAUUCCCACAGAAAACGUAGCUGGUAAAUCCAUAGGCAACGCCCUAAUCGAAAGCCCCCACGCAUUACUUAUCACUCCCAUGGACCUGGGCACCCGAAUAAACCCAUCCUCCGGUAAACUUUCCACCAUCGACCUCAUCAUCACAUCAUCCGUAUUUGCCCUUGUUCUUGGCCCCUAUUGUGGCAGUGACCACUUCCCGGUGAUCACCACCCUCAACGCCAACCCCAUCCAUCUGUCAUCUAGACCACCAACCUAGAUAUUCAACAAAACCAGAUGGCCCCAAUGGAACAAAGACCUUGAAGACUCUUUCUCUACAAAAUCUUUUCAAUGACAUUUCAAUUGUCCGACACAAAAUCAAUUUUUGACACUUUCACAAACUCGAUCCAAUCUAGCAGCAAAAACUCUUCUGACAAUGCCACUCCUGCUCCAAAUCUUCUAAAGAACCCCGCCGUCCCUGGUGGAAUAGUGACUGCCAGGCAGCUGUAGCGUCGGCCAAAAAAGCCGAAAAAGAAUGGCGCAAAAAUCCCCUAUCGUCCAAAAAAAGGGCUGCAUGGAAAAGGGAAGACGCAAAAAAAAGACUUAUCGUCAAAUCAAAGAAACAAGCCUGGGCAACCAUUAUAAGUAAUCUAAACCCUCGAGACGGCCAAAGAGCAAUCUGGACCUUUAUGAAAUCAAUGAUUGGCCGAGGUAACAACAGUAUCCCUAUACUCCCUCCAUAACUACACCCAACAGUGACAAGCUCACCUCGAUAAAUGAUAUCGUUGACAAUUUCCUUAACCUUUUCAGUCGCCCACCCAACCCCCAGACACACUAUGCCGAAGACGACGAUCUCCUAGAACCCCAUACCCGACCCACAUCUCAAAUAACUCCCCCAAUAACCUCAACUGUCACUUAACCCUGAAUGAGCUGGAACAAGCAACAAGGAAAAACAAAAGUAAAGCGAUGGGCUCCGACAUAUCAUUAUCAUAAUGAAAUGAUCAAGAAUAUCUCCCCUAAACAACAAGAUAAACGUCCUUUUACUUUUCAACACCGUCUACAGCAACGCUUUCGUCCCUGGCGCGUGGAAAAAAAAAACAAUAGUUAUCCCCCUCCCCAAGCCCGGCAAAUCGUCUGAUGAUGCCAACUCCUACAGGCCCAUCAGCCUCACAUCCUGUUUGUGCAAAAUUUUCGAAAGGAUCAUUACCAACCGUCUGUCCUGGUUCGUCGAGCACCACAACCUUCUUGCAGGCUGGUUUCGGAAAACAACCAGCACUACCGACAACCUAGUCAAACUAGACUACGACAUCAAAUCAGGCUUACAAACAAAAAAAUUGACCUUUGCUCCAUUUCUUGACAUUAGCAAAGCCUGAUGACUCUGUCGGGACAAACGGCCUCCUCUACAAACUCGGAAAACCUGGCAGACGAGGUAACUGCCUCGGCUGGAUUACGAACUUCAUCAGCAACGCUCAAUUUGUGUUUCACCCUAGGCAGCCACCAUUCACAUUUCAAACCCAUCAUUAAUUGUGUCCCGCAAGGCCAUCCUAUUUAAUCUCAUGCUCUACGACUUUCCGACUUCCCCCCCCCCAAGACAUCAACCUCCAACUAUACGGAUACGACGUCAACUUCCACACCACAGUCAAACGCCCUAUAGAUUAGUGUCGGCGAUAAUCUAACUUCAAUGUAGAUAUAUCGAUAUCUCCCCGAUUUCUCUAGAUAAUCGAUAUUUACAGAUAUAUCUAGUAUCUAACCAUAGCUCAGCUGUUUGUAACUUCUUCAUGAAAAUUUAUAGGCUACCGGUAGAUGACGUUCACAAAUAAAAAUGAAAAACGUUACGCAACUACAUUACGUCACUGAAUUACGUCACUUAGUGGAAUUCUUUGGAUUCAAAAUCGUUAUUGGAAAAUGUCAGAAGCCAAAAAAGGAAGAAGUCCCGUUUGGGACCAUUUUGAAAAAGUGGGAUCGUUAGGUGCGAAAAAGUGUAGAUGUUUGCAUUGCGAAGCCAUUUUAGGAUUUUGUGGAAAUACCACGAACAUGCUGUCUCAUCUUUCGAACCACCAUCAAGAUAUUUAUUUGCAAGUUCAGCCUAAACUGCAAAAGUCUCGAUCAAAGUCUGCCUCAACGCCGAAACGACCAAGAUUAUUGGACGAGAAUGGGAACGAAACGGAAGCAUGUGCAAAUGAGGUGGAUGUGGAAAUAAAUGCUGCUGGUUCGUCGUCCACACCGAUGGACACUGAUGCUCCAACUUCGAAUGAAAGGGAGAAUGGUUCAACCCAAGCAUCUUCUUCCUCAAGUUCCUCACAAUCGAGCCGUGGGAAAUUUAUGCCUUAUCCUCGCAACAGCGAAAAAAUGAAAAAUUUUCUACGUCAAUUGAUGCUCUUUAUUGUGAGAGGAAUGCAUUGCCUUUCACUAGUCGACAAUCCUUAUUUCAUUGCGUUUGUAAGCUAUUUGGAUCCUAGGAUCACUUUACCGUGUCGCAGUACCAUCACUCACAAACAUUUACCGGCAAUGUACAACGAAGCAGUCAAUAAAUUAAAAGGAGAACUUGCUUUGAUUUAGUGUCGGCGAUAAUCUAACAUUGGUUAGAUACUGACUAUCGAUAUUUUUAGUAGAUAAUAAUCGAUAUUUGAAUAUUGAAUCUAAUAUCUAAAAUGUUUGUAAACAAACGCAAUGCAAACGAUCAGGUCUGCUUGUUAUCAUGUUUGUUGACUUUUCCUGUGAUGUCUUUUGCUUAUUGGUGUACGUAUUCGAGGAAAAUAUUUUAAAUUCAUUUGGCAUUUAAACAUGUGUCCACUUCUUGUCUGAAAGUUAGGCCAAUAAUUUUCAAGGCUGUUAAUGAAAUACCCAUGAAUUUGACCAAGGUUAAUGAAGUUAGUAGCAGAGAUGGGAAAAGAUUCUUCGUAAACUUUCAGGUGUGUUGGUUCUCAACACUCAAGUCAGUUUUAGAUCGAAGACAUCAGUGUAUAUCAUUGUAGCAGCAACAUGUUAACAUUGUCAGGAGAGAGUCUGUUUCUUUCCUCAGAAACUAGUUCCCCAGCAGAAGAAAAAAGUUGUUCACAUGGAACUGAUGUAGCCGGUAUACAUUGAAACUUGGUGACCACUUUUAUCAAUGGCCAAAACUGUCCUUCGUCUCUUUUAGUUUUCCAAAACAGCAAAGGGUCCGAGUUGCGUGGCUGAAGGGGUAAGAUGUUAUACUCUUCCGUCAUAAUUAUUCUGUUGGCUUCUCUGUUUGGUCCUUGGGCAGUAAUGUUGGCGUUUGACGUGGCGAAAGCUUCAUCGUGUCCUUCCCAGAUUGAAGACUUGUUUUGUUGCGUAGAUUCAGCUGCCAUUUGCUGACUGUUUUGACUUCUUUCCUCUGAACUGAAAAUGAUGUGGUUUCUUGUUCUUUUCUCGGCCUCACUGGAAACCACACUACUGAAAUACAGUUCCAGUUUCUUAAAUCUGUAUAGUAAGUUAAUAUGUUAAAUUUAAAUAACGAGGCAAUAGAAGUUUGCUUUCGUACCUGGGAUCCAGAUAUGUGGCAAUUAAGUGAGGAGUUGAAUGCGUGCACGUUUUCUGACUAUCUUCAAACCUUUCUUUAAGCCCCGUAAUUAGAAAUGUUAGAAGUUGUUUAAGGCAGUCAACGUAGAUGUUUUUGUUGAUAUUAUUCAGCCAUUUUGUUACCAAAACAAUUGAAGGAAUGACUUUGGAAAUACUCGGGUAAUUUUGUGAAGAUAGAUCCUUCGUUAAUUCGUCAAACGGCUUUA